GUUGUCAACCUAAAAAUGAGCGUCUUUAACCUCUACUAAUUGAAAUCAAUGAGAUAAAAUUAUGUUUUAACAGUGUAAUUAAUAAAUUACUAAUUAUUAAUAUUAGUUGAAAUACACAAUGUUUAUAACUUAAUAGAAGAAUCCAACCCAACUUAUUGAAUAAUAACUAGAGCUCAAGAGAAUUCACAGGAUUAUAAAGCGAGUUACAAGGAUGAUCAUCAACUCUGAUCCUUCAUUGAAAGAUGAUAUGUAUUACAACAAAAUCCAAACACAAGAAACAUUAGGGCGAUUAACUCAUUGAAAAUGUCAUAAAGACAACCUUAUUAAUGAAGAUUUCAAAAGGAGUACUGGAAGAAUUUUAGAUGAAUAUUGAAAAUUUAAAUAAAAAUCAUCUAUAUGAUAUUGCAAUUAACAGUUUUGAUACAACAGCUAUCAAUAUUUGUAAUGAAACACAUCUUUAGUAUUAUUAUCAAAUUUUUUUUUCAUGUUAUAUGAAAAUAAGUGAGGUUAUGUUACAAUAUAGGUUAUGUUUUCAAAACGCACCAAAUUUUCAGUGAUAUGAAGGCGACUCGCGAUCUUUUUUAAAUUAAAAUGAAAAAAGAAGUGGUUGCUAAAAUGAAUAUGAUUUCGAUGAAUAGAUUCCAGCCAAAGAAAUAACUAAAAAGAGCGUUAGGAAAGAUUUUGACUUUUUUAGGUUGGAAACAAGGACGGUAGAAUAAGAGGACUGCUACAUCUGGAAAACAAGUGCAUAGUUUGACGACUCGUUCGUGACGUCAGAUAUGAGGAGGUAACUAUUAUUUCACCCUUUGGCCUUUGAAUUAGGAAAUGCUUAACAGCAGGGCCACCCUAACCUAAGGGAUAAAAGGACUAUAGCCCUAGAGCGCCAGCUCUUUAGGGGCGCCUUAAUUUUUGAAUUUUUUUUUUGUAGUUUUUAUUUUGUAAGCUUGAAAUUUGUCAUGACGCCACGACACGACGCGACGUCGCGCCGAAUCGCCAAUGCACCGGUUUUACGUUUCUACAUGCCACAUUUGGCAUCUUAUCUGGACAAACACUUAUUUAUUUCUACAUAAAACUCUUAAAAAAAGUUUUUAUGUCGUUUACUGGUCCCAGGGAAUUUGUUCCGGAUUUCCCAGUCUGUGAUUGGGCCACAAAACACCCGCAUAUUUGUCAAUCGAUUUAGAGAAAAUAGUGAAUAUUUCAAAAAUUAUUCAAUUAUGUCACUAAAAAAAAGUACUAAUUAUUGGAAAAAUAAUUUAAAGCGAAUUAAAUGUUACAUGGAUUCAAUUCACUGGAAACUGGCAUUAUGGUAGCAUUUUGGAGCUAGAUGUUAGAAAUUAUAGAUAAAACUAAUACAUAUCUCAAAAAGUUGAUAUUACACUUGAAACCAUUCUUAGAUUAUACGAUUCUUUACAAAAGUUUGUACAGUCAAAACGAAAUGCAGAGUCAUUUCAGUUUUACAAAUCUGAAGGGAUUUAAUUGUCUCAAUAAUAAAUUCAUAUACAUAUUUAUAUAAUAAAUAGGGCAACCAAAACUAUUCUCCAAAAAUACUAGUUUUUAGUGCUUAAUAUAUAUUCUAUGAAAAUCAAAAUAUAUUUUUAAGUAUGAAAGUAUGCUCAAUAAAAAACUGGAAUUAAAUAUUAAAAUAUCUUUUAAAUCUGUAGGUGAGGUUAAACAAAGUAAUUGAAAAAUGAUAUCUACUUCUAUACACGAGAUGUUUAUUAGUUCGACUUAUAAAAACUAAAAAAGAAUAAGAAAAUAUUGAAGAAAACACAAAAGACAAA